GACGAACGCUGGCGGCGUGCCUAAUACAUGCAAGUAGAACGCACAGUUUAUACCGUAGCUUGCUACACCAUAGACUGUGAGUUGCGAACGGGUGAGUAACGCGUAGGUAACCUGCCUGGUAGCGGGGGAUAACUAUUGGAAACGAUAGCUAAUACCGCAUAAUAUUGAUUAUUGCAUGAUAAUUGAUUGAAAGAUGCUAUUGCAUCACUACCAGAUGGACCUGCGUUGUAUUAGCUAGUAGGUGAGGUAACGGCUCACCUAGGCGACGAUACAUAGCCGACCUGGGAGGGUGGUCGGCCACACUGGGACUGAGACACGGCCCAGACUCCUACGGGAGGCAGCAGUAGGGAAUCUUCGGCAAUGGACGAAAGGCUGACCGAGCAACGCCGCGUGAGUGAAGAAGGUUGUCGGAUCGUAAAGCUCUGUUGUAAGAGAAGAACGGGUGUGAGAGUGGAAAGUUCACACUGUGACGGUAACUUACCAGAAAGGGACGGCUAACUACGGG
rnacentral:rRNA from 1 species